CUUGGUCAUUUAGAGGAAGUAAAAGUGGUAACAAGGUUUCCGUAGGUGAACCUGCGGAAGGAUCAUUAAAGAGUAAGGGUGCUCAGCGCCCGACCUCCAACCCUUUGUUGUUAAAACUACCUUGUUGCUUUGGCGGGACCGCUCGGUCUCGAGCCGCUGGGGAUUCGUCCCAGGCGAGCGCCCGCCAGAGUUAAACCAAACUCUUGUUAUUUAACCGGUCGUCUGAGUUAAAAUUUUGAAUAAAUCAAAACUUUCAACAACGGAUCUCUUGGUUCUCGCAUCGACGAAGAACGCAGCGAAAUGCGAUAAGUAAUGUGAAUUGCAGAAUUCAGUGAAUCAUCGAAUCUUUGAACGCACAUUGCGCCCCUUGGUAUUCCGAGGGGCAUGCCUGUUCGAGCGUCAUUACACCACUCAAGCUAUGCUUGGUAUUGGGCGUCGUCCUUAGUUGGGCGCGCCUUAAAGACCUCGGCGAGGCCACUCCGGCUUUAGGCGUGGUAGAAUUUAUUCGAACGUCUGUCAAAGGAGAGGAACUCUGCCGACUGAAACCUUUAUUUUUCUAGGUUGACCUCGGAUCAGGUAGGGAUGCCCGCUGAACUUAAGCAUAUCAAUAAGCGGAGGA
rnacentral:rRNA from 1 species